rnacentral:misc_RNA from 1 species
GGAUUCGUCGGUUCAGCGACGAUAAGCCGAGAAGUGCCAAUAAAACUGUUAAGUGGUUUGGUAACGCUCGGUAAGGUCCGAAAGGAGAACCACUGAACGGAAAUUAGGCGCGCUUGGC